rnacentral:rRNA from 1 species
UACAGAGGUCUCAAGCGUUGUUCGGAUUCAUUGGGCGUAAAGGGUGCGUAGGCGGCGGGGAAAGUCUGAUGUGAAAUCCUGGGGCUCAACCCUGGAACUGCAUUGGAUACUUCCUUGCUAGAGUACUGGAGAGGAAACUGGAAUUUACGGUGUAGCAGUGAAAUGCGUAGAGAUCGUAAGGAAGACCAGUGGCGAAGGCGAGUUUCUGGACAGUUACUGACGCUGAGGCCACGAAGGCCAGGGGAGCAAACGGG